GCUGGGUACAGUGGCGCAGGCCUGUAGUCCCAGCAGCUUGGGAGGCUGAGGCAGGGGGAUCACGAGUUCAAAGUCAGCCUCAUCAAAAAGUGAGGCACUAAGUAACUGAAUGAGACCGUGUCUCUA
rnacentral:sRNA from 1 species